rnacentral:rRNA from 1 species
CAGGUAGGAGGACCCGCUGAACUUAAGCAUAUCAAUAAGCGGAGGAAAAGAAACCAACAGGGAUUGCCCUAGUAACGGCGAGUGAAGCGGCAACAGCUCAAAUUUGAAAUCUGGCUUCGGCCCGAGUUGUAAUUUGCAGAGGAAGCUUUAGGCGCGGCACCUUCUGAGUCCCCUGGAACGGGGCGCCAUAGAGGGUGAGAGCCCCGUAUAGUUGGAUGCCUAGCCUGUGUAAAGCUCCUUCGACGAGUCGAGUAGUUUGGGAAUGCUGCUCAAAAUGGGAGGUAAAUUUCUUCUAAAGCUAAAUACCGGCCAGAGACCGAUAGCGCACAAGUAGAGUGAUCGAAAGAUGAAAAGCACUUUGAAAAGAGGGUUAAAUAGCACGUGAAAUUGUUGAAAGGGAAGCGCUUGUGACCAGACUUGCGCCGGGCUGAUCAUCCGGUGUUCUCACCGGUGCACUCUGCCCGGCUCAGGCCAGCAUCGGUUCUCGCGGGGGGAUAAAGGCCCGGGGAAUGUAGCUCCUCCGGGAGUGUUAUAGCCCCGGGUGUAAUACCCUCGCGGGGACCGAGGUUCGCGCAUCUGCAAGGAUGCUGGCGUAAUGGUCAUCAGCGACCCGUCUUGAAACACGGACCAAGGAGUCAAGGUUUUGCGCGAGUGUUUGGGUGU